CCAAAUAUUUUUUUUUUCCUUUUUUUACUUUUGAAAGAUUUUCUAAUAAAUUAUUGAAUAUGAACAAUUUCCAUCCCAUGAUGGCUUACACUAUACGAAUAGUCGAGCGCGCUGUCCUCUGACAGCUCUUGUUUAUGGAAAACUUCAAAGCCAAGGGGCCAGGAUGUGCAAACUUUCGGUUUUAAAACGUUAACGUCCCCAGCCUUCUAUUCCAUAGUCUUAAGACUAAAUCAGUUGUCUAGUUAUAUGUGUUCUUUUAUUUUCGUUUUUUUUUUUGUUAUCUUCAGCGUGAAUACUUUUUCAAGAGUUUUGACUUUGAAGAUUAUUUUCAAUAAACUGGUCAAUUUUGAUUUUUUAACAGCUAAUGCUUAAAUAUUUCUUUAAGAGAACUUUUUUAUGUUUUUUUAUUUGAAUCUGCUAGUCUUUGAUUGUUGUUAUUUAAAAUAUUACCAUAGUUAUUUAAAAUAUUACCAUAGUUUCUACUCGACUCUGAUUAUUAAGCCUGAUUCUUUGUUUUUGCUGACAAAGUCCACGAAUUACACUGUGAUAUUUGCUUAUCUUAGUUUACUUUCUUGUUUGUGUUCUUUUCGUAUAAAUAAUAAAAUAAUGUUCAAUUGCUAAUAUGACAAAUGCUUCUUGAAAUGCUGUAUCAACCCAUUUUUAGCUCACCUGAGCACAACGUGCUCAUGGUGAGCUUUUGUGAUCGCCUUUUGUCCGUUGUGCGUUGUCCGUUGUGCGGCGUCAACAUUUGCCUUGUUAACUCUCUAGAGGCCACAUUUAUUGUCCAAUCGUCAUGAAAUUUGGUCAGCAGAUUGGUUUCAAUGAUAUCUUGGAUGAGUUCGAAAAUGGUUACGUUUGCUUGAAAAACAUGGCUGCCAAGGGGCGGGGCAUUUUUCCUUAUAUGGCUAUAUAUGGCUAUAGUAAAAUCUUAUUAACACUCUAGAGGCCACAUUUAUUUCUGUUCUUCAUAAAACUUGGUCAGAACAUUCGUCCCAAUAAUAUCUUGGACGAGUUUGAAAAUGAUGCCGGUUGGUUGAAAAACAUGGCCGCCAGGGGGCGGGGCAUUUUUCCUUAUAUGGCUAUUGUAAAACCUUGUUAACACUCUAGAGGCCACAUUUAUUUUCCGAUCUUCAUGAAACUUGCUCAGAAGAUUUGUGCCACUGAUAUCAUGGAUGAGUUCAAAAAUGAUAACCUUUGCUUGAAAAACAUGGCUACCAAGGGGUGGGGCAUUUUUCCUUAUAUGGCUAUAUAUAUGGCUAUAGUAAAAUCUUGUUAACACUCUAGAGGCCACAUUUAUUGUCCUAUCUUCUUAAAACUUAUUUAGAAGAUUCAUCCCAAUAAUAUCUUGGACGAGUUCGAAAAUGAUGCCGGUUUGUUGAAAAACAUUGCCGCCAGGGGGCGGGGCAUUUUUCCUUAUAUGCCUAUAGUAAAACCUUGUUAACACUCUAGAGGCCACAUUUAUUGUCCUAUCUUCAUGAAACUUGGUCAGAAGAUUCAUCCCAAUAAUAUCUUGGACGAGUUCGAAAAUGAUGCCGGUUGUUUGAAAAACAUGGCCGCCAGGGGGCGGGGCAUUUUUCCAUAUAUGGCUAUAGUAAAACCUUGUUAACACUCUAGAGGCCACAUUUAUUUUCCGAUCUUCAUGAAACUUGCACAGAAGAUUUGUCCCACUAAUAUCUUGGAUGAGUUCAAAAAUGGUAACCUUUGCUUGAAAAACAUGGCUGCCAAGGGGCGGGGCAUUUUUCCUUAUAUGGCUAUAGUAAAAUCUUGUUAACACUCUAGAGGCCACAUUGAUUGUCCUAUCUUCAUGAAACAUGGUCAGAAGAUUCAUCCCUAUAAUAUCUUGGACGAGUUUGAAAAUGAUGUUGGUUGGUUGAAAAACAUGGCCGCCAGGGGGCGGGGCAUUUUUCCUAAUAUGGCUAUAGUAAAACCUUAACAAUGUAGAGGCCACAUUUAUUGUCCAAUCUUCAUGAAAUAUGGUCAGAAGAUUUGUCUUAAUGCUAUCUUGGAUGAGUUCGAAAAUGGUUACGUUUGCUUGAAAAACAUGGCUUCCAAGAGGCGGGGCAUUUUUCCUUAUAUGGCUAUAUAAGGCUAUAGUAAAAUCUUGUUAGCACUCUAGAGGCCACAUCUAUAGUCCGAUCUUCAUGAAACUGGGUCAGAAGAUUCAUACCAAUAAUAUCUUGGACGAGUUCAAAAAUGAUGCCGGUUGGUUGAAAAACAUGGCCACCACGGGGGCGGGGCUAUUUUCCUUAUAUGGCUAUAGUAAAACCUUGUUAACACUCUAGAGGUCACAUUUAUUUUCUGAUCAUCAUGAAACUUGGUCAGAAGAUUUGUCCCAAUGAUAUCUUGGAUGAGUUUGAAAAUGGUUUUGGUUGCUUUAAAAACAUGGCCACCAGGGGCGGGGCAUUUUUCCUUAUAUGGCUUUAUAUGGCUAUAGUAAAACCUUGUUAACACUCUAGAGGCCACAUUUAUUGUCCAAUCUUCAUGAAAUUUAGUCAGAAGAUUGGUCUUUAUGAUAUCUUGGAUGAGUUUGAAAAUAAUUGUUUGCUUGAAAAAAAUGGCUUCCAAGGGGGGAGGGGGGGCAUUUUUCCUUAUAUGGCUAUAGUAAAAUCUUGUUAACACUCUAGAGGCCACAUUUACUGUCCGAUCUUCAUGAAACUUGGUCAGAAGAUCUAUCCCUAUAGUAUCUUGGACGAGUUCAAAAAUGAUGCCGGUUGGUUGAAAAACAUGGCUGCCAGGAGGCGGGGCAUUUUCCUUAUAUGGCUAUAGUAAAACCUUUUUAACACUCUAGAGGCCACAUUUAAUUUCCGAUCUUUGUGAAACUUGGUCAGAAGAUUUGUCCCAAUAAUAUCUUGUUAUCUCAGGUGAGCGACUUUAGGCCUUUCAGGCCCUCUUGUUGUUAUUUCAAUUUCAAAAUACUUAUGAAUUUCUCAGUAAGACCAUGGUCUUUUGUAUAGUAGUACAUGUCUGUACAGUCGACAUUGUCUUCCCUACUCCGUGUUUGUAUCGUCUUAUUUCCAUAUUGACACAUAAAUAAUAAAACAUGCAAAGUCGUU